UAAACUGGCAACUGUGCUGCAUUAGUCAGACGAUUUAAUAAAAAGAAACACAUUUUUGAACAUGUGUUUAUUAGCAGUCUGCAGUCUAGUCAGUUUAGAUUGGAAUCUUGAAGUCUUGAACAGUUUUAAUCUGAUUUAAUCGAGGAAAACAGAAUGAAGAGACUAGAUGUUCUUCAAAUCUUGGCAGAAAGGAAUGAAAGAAGAAAACGCGAACUGGAGCUCAAUGGUUUACCGUCAGAAAGCAAAUAAUUCUUUGCCCAUAACCCCAAAUUUUUCAAGGCAGGUAACAUAUAAUGGAUUAUUUUCUGUUUGGGCCCAAAACAAAACUUACACACAUUUUCACUCAAAGACUCCAUCCUUGUUGAAUCAUCAUCCCAGAGUGCUUCGUCAAAAAGUAGUAGACAGGAAGAAUUAAAUCGUGCUACAGUUCUGGAUAUUUUUGAUGAUACACAAGUUUAUCUUUUAUUCAAAAGGCGAAGUAAACUAUUCUUGGCUUGAUAAAGAUCUAGGUAUUAAAGAUGUUCCAAAGAUGUCUUCUUCAGAUUUGGUGAACUAUUUGCGGUCAGAAAUAAAGGGCAAUAAAUUACAACGAUCAUUGUUAACCUGCAAAUUAUCAUGUAGGAGAUAUUUGUUCUUUCUAAUGUCAGUGACAACAAGCAAAGAUGUGGCAGAACUCAGAAGUGUGUCUUAAGAUUCUUUCAGAAAAAAUAUCUGAUAAAACUCAACAAUUCUGUAUUGAAGUGCCUGACUUACUUCUAGUCCUGAUGAAUUUUGGUACUGUUCAAAGCAAACUUUGGCCUGUGGCUUUGGACAUUUCUUUUCCUCGCCCAUUCCGGAAAUUUUCCAUGAACAGUUUCGAUUCGGAAAAACAUCAUGUCCCUUUCCCUCGCUUGAAUUUGGAGAAAAUAUUGUCUCUCUUGAGUUUCAAUGUGAAAACAUAUCCCUAUUUUUCCGAGAACGAGAAAAUUGGAAUGUGCAACCUCUUGCCAAACCUUUAAAUGGCCAAUUUUAUAGCUGGAGACACUUUUCUAACUCUCAAAAUCAGAGACAUUAUAUCACGUAUACUUGAAAGUUUUACAGUAGAGGAAUGGAGUGAACU